rnacentral:rRNA from 1 species
AGUGAACGCUGGCGGUAGGCCUAACACAUGCAAGUCGAACGGCAGCACAGUAAGAGCUUGCUCCUACGGGUGCCGAGUGGCGGACGGGUGAGGAAUAAAUCGGAAUCUACUUUUUCGUGGGGGAUAACGUAGGGAAACUUACGCUAAUACCGCAUACGACCUACGGGUGAAAGCAGGGGAUCUUCCGACCUUGCGCGAUUGGAUGAGCCGAUGUCGGAUUGGCUAGUUGGUGGGGUAAAGGCCCACCAAGGCGGCGAUGGGUAGCUGGUCUGAGAGGAGGGACGGGCACACGGGGACUGAGAUCCGGCCCAGACGACUAGGGGAGGCAGCAGGGGGGAAGAUGGCCCAAUGGGCGAAAGCCGGAUGAAUCGACGCCUCGUGGGGGAUGACGGCCUUCGGGGUGUAAAAAUCUUGCGACAGCGACGAAGCUUUGGUGACGGUACCGGUAGAAGAAGCACCGGCUAACUACGU